UACAGAGGUCUCAAGCGUUGUUCGGAUUCAUUGGGCGUAAAGGGUGCGUAGGCGGCGAGGUAAGUCGGAUGUGAAAUCCCGGGGCUCAACCCCGGAACUGCAUCCGAUACUGCCAUGCUAGAGGAUUGGAGAGGUAGCUGGAAUUCUUGGUGUAGCAGUGAAAUGCGUGGAGAUCAAGAGGAACACUCGUGGCGAAAGCGAGCUACUGGACAAUAUCUGACGCUGAGGCUCGAAGGCCAGGGUAGCGAAAGGG
rnacentral:rRNA from 1 species